rnacentral:rRNA from 1 species
UACGAAGGGGGCUAGCGUUGUUCGGAUUUACUGGGCGUAAAGCGCACGUAGGCGGAUCGAUCAGUCAGGGUGAAAUCCCAGAGCUCAACUCUGGAACUGCCUUUGAUACUGUCGAUCUGGAGUAUGGAAGAGGUGAGUGGAAUUCCGAGUGUAGAGGUGAAAUUCGUAGAUAUUCGCAAGAACACCAGUGGCGAAGGCGGCUCACUGGCCCGGUACUGACGCUGAGGCACGAAAGCGUGGGGAGCAAACAGG